rnacentral:rRNA from 1 species
UCGAACGGUAACACUUCUAGCUUGCUAGAAGAUGACGAGUGGCGGACGGGUGAGUAAUGCUUGGGAACUUGCCUUUGCGAGGGGGAUAACAGUUGGAAACGACUGCUAAUACCGCAUAAUGUCUUCGGACCAAACGGGGCUUAGGCUCCGGCGCAAAGAGAGGCCCAAGUGAGAUUAGCUAGUUGGUAAGGUAACGGCUUACCAAGGCGACGAUCUCUAGCUGUUCUGAGAGGAAGAUCAGCCACACUGGGACUGAGACACGGCCCAGACUCCUACGGGAGGCAGCAGUGGGGAAUAUUGCACAAUGGGGGAAACCCUGAUGCAGCCAUGCCGCGUGUGUGAAGAAGGCCUUCGGGUUGUAUAGCACUUUCAGUUGUGAGGAAAAGUUAGUAGUUAAUACCUGCUAGCCGUGACGUUAACAACAGAAGAAGCACCGGCUAACUCCGUGACAGCAGCCGCGGUAAUACGGAGGGUGCGAGCGUUAAUCAGAAUUACUGGGCGUAAAGCGCGCGUAGGUGGCUUGAUAAGCCGGUUGUGUAAGCCCCGGGCUCAACCUGGGAACGGCAUCCGGAACUGUCAAGCUAGAGUGCAGGAGAGGAAGGUAGAAUUCCCGGUGUAGCGGUGAAAUGCGUAGAGAUCGGGAGGAAUACCAGUGGCGAAGGCGGCCUUCUGGACUGACACUGACACUGAGGUGCGAAAGCGUGGGUAGCAAACAGGAUUAGAUACCCUGGUAGUCCACGCCGUAAACGAUGUCGACCAGCCGUUGGGUGCCUAGCGCACUUUGUGGCGAAGUUAACGCGAUAAGUCGACCGCCUGGGGAGUACGGCCGCAAGGUUAAAACUCAAAUGAAUUGACGGGGGCCCGCACAAGCGGUGGAGCAUGUGAUUUAUUCGAUGCAACGCGAGACCUUACCUACUCUUGACAUCCUGCGAAUUUGGUAGAGAUACUUAGUGCCUUC